GACAGAAACCAGAAAGAAAGAAAAAAAGAGAGAGAGAAGGAAGGAAGAGAGAGAGAAAGAGAGAGAAAGAAAGAAGGAAAGAAAGAAAGGGAGAUCCGUCCAAACCGUCGACAUUUUGGAGAAACCUCAAGGACGACGUACCGAGUUAUUGCUCGACAAAGGAACUCGUAUGCGUGAUCGCCUAUAUAGUACUUUUGCAGGCGAAAUUAGUUGAGGUCGGGCGUACAUUGGAGUUGAGGCAUAGUCAACAACAUGGCUUCCGCAUUUUUAUUUGAUAUAGGUGUUCCUUGAUUACCUUUCCUUGCUGUUAGAAUUGCUCUGAUUACCUGAGGAAAUUAAUGUUAUUUAAGUUCUGAUUUGUGUUAUGUGAUUUAUGGUUGAUGUUGUAA